rnacentral:rRNA from 1 species
AUACGAAGGGGGCUAGCGUUGUUCGGAAUUACGGGGCGUAAAGCGCACGUAGGCGGAUAUUUAAGUCAGGGGUGAAAUCCCAGAGCUCAACUCUGGAACUGCCUUUGAUACUGGGUAUCUUGAGUAUGGAAGAGGUAAGUGGAAUUCCGAGUGUAGAGGUGAAAUUCGUAGAUAUUCGGAGGAACACCAGUGGCGAAGGCGGCUUACUGGUCCAUUACUGACGCUGAGGUGCGAAAGCGUGGGGAGCAAACAGGAUUAGAAACCCUAGUAGUCC